rnacentral:tRNA from 1 species
GCGCUCUUAGCUCAGUUGGAUAGAGUAUCUGAUUACGUUACGAAUCAGAAGGUCGGGCGUUCGAAUCGCUCAGAGUGUG